GUCAAAGUACAUGAGUCAAAGCUUGUCCCUCCUGCUAAGAGUAAAAAGUAGAAUAUCUGUUUUCUGGAAAGACUGAGCAAGAUGUAUGCAUUAUUGCUUCAGGAGACUGUACAAUGUUGGAAUUUCAGGUUGCCUGCUAGAAGGGGAUUGAUUAUCUGGAUGGAAACACGACAUAUUUUUCUGGUUACAGAAUAUACCAAGGAAAAUGAGAGCAUCCCAAAUGAGAUAAUGUAGAGUGGUCCAAGACAUUCGACUGGGCUGUCUCCAAAACUUAUAAGAAGUGUAUGGCAAACAUCUUUUAAUUUCCUUUGAAUGAGAAGAUUAAGAGGGAAGAAACUAAACUGUGCUCUAAUGUCAAUAGUUUAAAAUGUUAUCAUGCUAAAAAUGACACAAAGGAACGAUUCAAAAGAAGUCGAUGAUUAUUCUAUAGGUAUUACUAUUAUUAUUUGAAUAGCGGUGUAAAUUGUAACAUAGGAAUUUGCAGAACUUUAAAUCUAAUUAAUGAAAAAUAAACCUUAUAUCUAAUGUAAGCUGAUACCUAAAUUUCAGCCCAAUAUAGGACAUGUUCUCAAUUUCUCACACUUACAGGCCAGUUACACUUUGUUUUAUCUCUCAUUAAAUCUUUUAUAUCAUUUUAAAACCUUAAUAAUUUUUAUGAAAAAUGUCUGGAUGAAACGAAAAUGUUAAAGUUUCAUAUGCCUUAUGCAUUAAGCAGAAAAUUUCCAAUUCAGACUUUUCUCACAGAUGUGUUUAAGUUGGCCUCUGCUCCUAGCAGGUAAAUUACCAAAUAGAGAAGCAAGUAUUAGCUUACAGGAUUUUUAAAAUUUAUUGUUAAAUUUGCAUAUAGAAAAAUUCACUUUUGUGCUGUACUUUUAUAGUAAAGAUUUACCCCUACCCCAACUCCUGGCAACACACUGUUCUUGAUCCCUGUAGUUUUGUUUUUUCCAGAGUGACACGUAAAUGGAAUCUUAUGUAAUCAUAUGUAAACUUUUGAAUGUGGCUUAUUGCCCUUAGCAUACGUAUUUGAGAUCUAUGCAUGUUGUUAUGGGUAUCAGGAGUUCAAUUACUUUUAUUACUGAGUAGUAUUCCAUUGUAUGGUUGUGCCAGUUUUACUAUCUCCCACUUGAGACACAUUUGAGUUGUUUCCAGUUUGCCACUAUUUUGAGUAAAGCUGCU
rnacentral:lncRNA from 1 species